rnacentral:rRNA from 1 species
ACCGAAUAGAUACCCUGGUAGUCCACGCCCUAAACGAUGCGAACUGGAUGUUGGGUACAUUACGGUACUCAGUGUCGAAAGCUAAACGCGUUAAGUUCGCCGCCUGGGGAGUACGGUCGCAAGACUGAAACUCAAAGGAAUUGACGGGGGCCCGGCAUAAGCGGUGGAGUAUGUGGUUUAAUUCGAUGCAACGCGAAGAACCUUACCUGGCCUUGACAUCUGUCGAAUCCUGCAGAGAUGCGGGAGUGCCGCAAGGAGCGACAAGACAGGUGCUGCAUGGCUGUCGUCAGCUCGAUGUCGUAG